rnacentral:snRNA from 1 species
AGCUUUGUGCAGUGGCAUUAUUAUAGCCAAUAAGGUUUAUCCAAGGUGCGAUUAUUAAUUGAAAAAAACUAUAGACUAUCCAAG